AAAAUAAGACCAUUUGCUACCAAUGUUAUGAAAUGAAUUUAAAAUUUUUUCAAAUAGUGUCAAAAGACCGUUUUAGGUAAUGAAUUGCACGCUAGAAUUGCCUUGAUAGGUCAUUUUAACAUUCGGAGACGUUUAAGGGUGUUCUUGAUUUUGGUACCUUUGGGUCUUAAAAUAAGACCAUUUGCUACCAAUUUUAUGAAAUGAAUUUAAAGUUUUUUCAAAUAGUGUCAAAAGACCGUUUGAGGUAAUGAAUUGCACGCUAGAAUUGCCUCGGUACAUCAUGGUGGAUGGACCCCAUUUUCUUUUGUGACCAAAAUUAUUAAAACUCAAUAAAAAAUUUUUAAAGUCAUUCGGUUUUCUCCUAAAGUUUUAAUUCAGUUUGUUACUUCUUUCCUUUUGACUAUAAUUUCUUCAACCUUUUUGCAAAUUGUUUAUAUGUUUUGCGCAAUUUACAUACAAAUUCACCAUAAGCCAAGCUAUGAUACACUCUUUUAUACAAAAAAGACAAAAAAGCUUUAUAUCUUGCAGGACUGAAUAAAUUGUGAAUCCGAAUCUGUGUCACCAUCACUGCUAUCUUUAAAACAUUUUGAUCAUCUUGAUGGUUGGAAUUUUUUUCUUAUUCUUAAAGAAUGUCUCGUCAUGUUUUAUGCAAAUAAUAGCUUUGGAAAUUAUCAGGCAAAUAACGUCAGAGAAAGAACUUGUGAUUAAAAUUCAAAAACUAUGCAUUAAAUAGAAGACAUUGUUUUCAAUUGGAUUCUGUUCUGAUUUGUUACAUAUAGUCUUGUUAAUUUUUAGAUAGUCUUCAUCCGGUAUUAAGUUAAUAAUGGUGUCAAUUUACAUUUCAAAGGUUCUAGUUUGUUUUCACACUUUCAAAGGUUAUUCAAGAACAAAGGGAUGUUUUUACCUGUUUGUAAAGCUUCAAUAUGGGGGUCAAGACUGAAACUUUGCCCUAGACCUCAAAAAAACAUCUGAGAUACAUUGUCUCGUGACAUCAUGUGAAGUUUUCCCGAAUUUUGUUAAGAAUUCUAAGAGAUUUUCGUUUACAAACGCUAGUUUUAGCAAAAAUUAAUAUAGUUUAAUUAUAGUUUAAAAUUAAAAACGAGAUUUUUCUAGCGUUUGAAAAUUUUGAUAGGAAAUAUUUCCAGCUUAAAAAAUUCGGUGGGAUUAAUUUUCACUUGCCCUCAAACCACUCGAUUUGUUUCAAUAUUCAUAUUUUUCUCCUACGGAGGAGACUUUCCUUCCCAUCAUGCCCAGCAAGGCAUGUGCCAACAAAAUUUUUCACUUUGAAAACAACAUGGCUUCCAAGAAAAUUAUUAUCGACAACAGUGUACUUAUCCCAGUGGAAAUAUCCUACACAAUCACCUUCGCGGCAACUGAAGAUAACCAAUAAUUUCAUGAAGAUCAAAACACAUGGCUACGGAAGAUUGUGUAUGAAUGACGAGGGACGUGAAAGAUGAACUUAGGACAACAUUUGGUUUGACAUGGCUUGGAUUGAUUAAGGCUGUUCUAUCAAUUGAGGUACUAAUUCAUUUAUAAUUAUUUUGAUAUCUUGAAACAUAUGGGGCUUGGGAGUGAAAAGGGAGCAUAAACAUUUCAAUUAACACAGGCAUAGGAAAUCACAAAAUAUAUUCAAGACAGCAACAUGCGAAAACUCUUACAUUGACAUUGUGUUUUGUGUUCAAUUUUUAAUCGUUUGAAUAAAGUGCUACACAGGCAAUAUUAUAAGGUGCAGUGAUGAUCAAUUUGUGCAAUGAUGAAUGGAAAAUGUGCAGCAAUGAGUCUGAAUUCAUGCAGCGUGAAAUUUUCUAAUUGUUUUCAUUAGUAAUCAAAAUGUAUGAAACAGCCACCAACUAAACAAAAAGUGCAAUUUGUUUAAUCAAAAAUGUUGUAACUUUUAAAAACUAGCUGAUAUUGAUAUAUACCUAGGGGUUGGCAUAUUGUCUUGCGCAUAAGACGGCUUGUUGAACUAGUUUUAGGUCUGUUGUGUGCUGAGACUAAAUUUUUGCAAUGGAUAAUGGAUACACGCAAUGGAUACACGGACAUUUCUUAUAUCAUUCUCACCGGCUCAAAGCCUACAGGUUCCCCAAAUUUACCAAGGAAUCGGUUUCUCGCUUAAAGUUUACUGAAGGAGCACUUGAUUCAAUUACAAAAAGUUCCAAUCGAUUUUUCUUGGGAAAUCUGUUUUCAUGUGUGAUAUAUAUAUUUAUGUUUGCUAGUGUUUUCUUUCGCUGGUAUGUUUCAAUAAAUCAUGAAGCAAAUUUAUCACAUUUUAUAUCUAAUAGGCAAUAGCGAGUUGGCACAAUCAUUUUUAUCGCAGUAAGCAUAAGUUUGUCUAUUUUGUAUUCAGUUACGAGAGCUUUAGCUACUUUUAAGUGAACUUCAGCUACUCAGCUACGCUGUAUCUUCAGUACUGAAGCCUAAAGUGUACCUCUACCCAUCCCUCUCUCAUUAGAUGGUGCUAUAAUGAUCAGUCCAAGUUCAUUUACUUCCAGCUAAUAAAUUUUCAAAAAAAGGGUGGGGGUCGAUUAAGGGUCGACCUUUAAAGCUCUUCAAGAAAAGGAAUGGGUAUAUAUAGAUGGGUACAUUAAUUAUAUGAAAUCUACCCAUAAUUUUGAGGUAUUAGUUUGUUGAUGAAAAGCAUAACAACCCUAUCUGCAAAACGCACCCACGGUACUCGGACUAAUGCUUUACUGACAAUUGCGAUACUAGUUUGAAUUGCAAAAUUUAUGUAUUUGUGCAGUGAUGAAUACCUUAGAAUAUUGUCUGUUGCUACAUCACUUCUAGGUCCACCAUUUACCAAUUAUAUCUAUGCAACUCAUAGUCAGGUCUCCGUACUUUUAUCGUUAGAUAUCUUUCAAUAGGUGCAUCACCAAUCCACAAAUAUUUUGCGACAUAUCUUUAUACCUACGUUUGGAUAAGAUAUGAACCCAAGAAUCACCCUUUUACAUUUCCUCGACUAUCCUCAUAGGGUGUAUGCUCACUAUUCUCAUUACCAGCAAUGAAACAUGUCUGAAAAUUGAAGUCCAUUGCUGAUACAUUGACAUUAUGACGAAAAUUCAGGAUGAUUGUGCAGUUGGCAUCUUCAACAUUUUUCAAACGUUUUUCCAGCCAGAAUGAUCAAACCAGCAGACAUUCUGUCUAACAAGAAUUCCAGCUCAUUCUCGACCUUUAAAGUACUUUCCAACUUACAAUCAAACCAAAAUACCAUUAUGUUUUCAGUCUAAAAUAUAGCACCUUGAAGUUAUUUUCUUCUUCUCUUUGACCCCUUUGAAUUUUGC